rnacentral:misc_RNA from 1 species
AGUACGAGGCGAGCCUGAAGGCCAAUCUCAUGGACGUUUGGAUCGCAUCAAGUCUGGCCGCUAUCGGUCACCCCCGGUGCGCAGGACGUACAUCGCCGAAGCGACGACUCACGACGGCCGCUCGGCGUCCCGACCUUCGAAGGCAAGGUGGCACAGCAUGCGAUCGUCAUGGUGCUGGAAGCGGUCUAUGAGCAGGACUUCCUGCCGUGCUCGCACGUCUUCCGGCCGGGUCGCCCGGCCCAUGGGGCGCUGAGCGUGCUGUACCGCGUCACCACGGAAGAACGGCAGCACUGGGUGCUGGAUGUCGACAUACGCAAGUACUUCGACUCAAUCCCGCACCAUCACCUGCGAGCAAUCCUCGACCAGCGAGUGACGGACGGCGGCAUCCGACGGAUGAACGACAAAUGGCUGAA